rnacentral:rRNA from 1 species
GAGUGAUCGAAAGAUGAAAAGCACUUUGAAAAGAGAGUUAAAAAGUACGUGAAAUUGUUGAAAGGGAAGCGUUUAUGACCAGACUUGGGCUUGGUUAAUCAUCUGGGGUUCUCCCCAGUGCACUUUUCCAGUCCAGGCCAGCAUCAGUUUUCGCCGGGGGAUAAAGGCUUCGGGAAUGUGGCUCCCCUCGGGGAGUGUUAUAGCCCGUUGUGUAAUACCCUGGCGGGGACUGAGGUUCGCGCUUCUGCAAGGAUGCUGGCGUAAUGGUCAUCAACGACCC